UACGAAGGGGGCUAGCGUUGUUCGGAAUCACUGGGCGUAAAGCGCACGCAGGCGGAUUGUUAAGUCGGGGGUGAAAUCCCGGGGCUCAACCUCGGAAUUGCCUUCGAUACUGUCUGUCUUGAGUCCGGGAGAGGUGAGUGGAAUUCCUAGUGUAGAGGUGAAAUUCGUAGAUAUUAGGAAGAACACCAGUGGCGAAGGCGGCUCACUGGCACGGUACUGACGCUCAUGUGCGAAAGCGUGGGGAGCAAACAGG
rnacentral:rRNA from 1 species